rnacentral:rRNA from 1 species
AGUGAACGCUGGCGGUAGGCCUAACACAUGCAAGUCGAACGGCAGCACAGGAGAGCUUGCUCUCUGGGUGGCGAGUGGCGGACGGGUGAGGAAUACAUCGGAAUCUGCCCAGUCGUGGGGGAUAACGUAGGGAAACUUACGCUAAUACCGCAUACGACCUUCGGGUGAAAGAGGGGGAUCGCAAGACCUCUCGCGAUUGGAUGAGCCGAUGUCGGAUUAGCUAGUUGGCGGGGUAAUGGCCCACCAAGGCGACGAUCCGUAGCUGGUCUGAGAGGAUGAUCAGCCACACUGGAACUGAGACACGGUCCAGACUCCUACGGGAGGCUGCAGUGGGGAAUAUUGGACAAUGGGCGCAAGCCUGAUCCAGCCAUACCGCGUGGGUGAAGAAGGCCUUCGGGUUGUAAAGCCCUUUUGUUGAGAAAGAAAUCUUUCAGGCUAAUACCCUGGGAGGAUGACGGUACCCAAAGAAUAAGCACCGGCUAACUUCGUG